GGCCCCGGCCCCGCCCGGGCUGUCAGAGCCGGCCUGUCCCGGGCAGGCUCGGGGCGACCGCGGGAUGCGGCGCUGAGCGCGCUCCGCUCGCCCUCUCCGUCCGUCUGUCCGUCCGUCCAUCGGUCUCCCCGCCCGGGCUCCCGCACGCCGAGGUUCCCUCCCGCAGCCCAUGAUGUGCCUGGAAAGCGACGGCUCCUCCGGCAGCAGCCCGGUCUGCGGCGGGCGGCUCCGAGCUGGCGACGAGGAGGAGGAGGAGGACGGCGAGCGGGGCUGCUGCGGCCGGGGUGCCGAGGGCGAGGUGCAGACCCUGUCGGGCAGGAUGAACCCCCCGGCGGCCGGCAAGCACCCCGACCGCUCCGCCGCCCUCCGCAAGGCGCCGACCCUCGGCCGGGCCCGGGUAGCGGCGGCCGGCAUCCUCAGUGUGGGCAACGUGCUCAACUACCUGGACCGGUACACCGUGGCAGGUGUGUUACUAGACAUCCAGCAGCACUUUGGAGUCAAAGACAGUGGGGCUGGCUUGCUGCAGACAGUUUUUAUCUGUAGUUUCAUGGUCGCGGCGCCGAUCUUUGGUUACCUUGGUGACCGGUUCAACAGAAAGAUCAUUCUCAGCUGUGGCAUCUUCUUUUGGUCAGCUGUCACUUUUUCAAGCUCCUUCAUCACUGAACAGUAUUUCUGGCUCCUUGUGCUCUCACGGGGCUUGGUUGGCAUUGGUGAAGCGAGUUAUUCUACUAUUGCACCAACCAUCAUUGGAGACCUGUUCACCAAAAACACCAGGACCCUGAUGCUCUCUGUUUUCUACUUUGCAAUUCCUCUGGGCAGUGGCUUGGGAUACAUCACUGGCUCGAGUGUGAAGCAGGUUGCUGGAGACUGGCACUGGGCACUGCGGGUAUCUCCACUCCUAGGAAUGAUAACAGGGACACUCAUCUUGAUAUUUGUGCCUGCUGCUAAAAGAGGAAAUGCUGAACAGCUUGGGGGGCAGCUGAAGGCUCGGACUUCAUGGCUGAGAGACAUGAAAGCAUUGAUUAGAAACCGCAGUUAUGUGUUCUCAUCCCUGGCCACGUCAGCUGUCUCCUUUGCCACAGGGGCGCUUGGUAUGUGGAUCCCUCUGUAUCUCCACAGAGCACAGGUUGUGCAGAAGACAGCAGAGACCUGCAGCUCCCAGCCCUGUGGCACCAAAGAUAGUUUGAUCUUUGGAGCAAUCACGUGCUUCACUGGCUUCCUGGGUGUAAUCACAGGGGCAGGAGCCACCAAAUGGUGCAGGUCCAAGACCCAGCGAGCUGAUCCUCUUGUCUGUGCUGUUGGAAUGCUGGGAUCAGCCAUCUUCAUCUGUCUGAUCUUCGUGGCAGCCAAGAGCAGCAUCGUGGGAGCCUAUAUUUGCAUUUUUAUCGGAGAAACUCUUCUGUUCUCAAACUGGGCUAUCACAGCAGACAUACUAAUGUACGUGGUCAUUCCAACUCGCCGUGCAACCGCAGUGGCCUUGCAGAGUUUCACUUCACACCUCCUGGGAGAUGCUGGCAGUCCUUAUCUCAUUGGAUUUAUCUCCGACCUGAUACGACAAAGCACAAAGGAGUCCCCGGUGUGGGAGUUCCUCAGCCUGGGUUACGCGCUCAUGCUCUGCCCGUUCGUGGUUGUCCUGGGAGGGAUGUUCUUCCUGGCCACAGCCCUCUUCUUCCUCAGUGACCGAGCUAAAGCGGAGCAACAUAAAGAAACCGAUUCGGAUCAUCUCACGGUUGGCAACUACAGUAAUUCAGAAGACGCUUCCACAUGACAUACAAACUCCUGGGGGUGAAUCAGCUUGUGAUGCCACCAGCCUCUGUGAAAGUCUGAGAUGCUGCCCGUGAAGGACACGUGGACUGCUCCCACCACACCAAUUCACUCUGGAAGCCCCUCUGUGCUGGCUAUCAGUGGAUCCUUCAGCUCCACAUCACAGAGGGGGUGUCUGCACCAAAUCCAUCCCUUGCUCCAGCCUGCAGGGUCAGGCACCAGGAGAUGAGCAGGGCAGCCGGGAACAUGGCAACUUCUGGAACAUGAGGACAUCCAUGGGGUCCCCGAGCAUGGAAACCAACUGUCCACUGGACCCUGAAAAAGCUGCCCAAGUGAGCAACUGUAGAUUGUGUAAAUGGUUUUAGUUGUAGCCAAUGAAAUCCACAUCGUUUGUAGGGCAGCUGGUGUCCUAUGGAAUGCUGCUGCUCUGCCAGCACUCCCACUCCCACAGACUGCACUAGUUGAGGACCUGUUCUGUACAUCACCUUUCCUUUGACAUUGAAGGCUUGAUUCAGAUUAUUAUUUUUUAUUUAAAUAUGUUAUAAGAUGCUUUAUCUCUGCUGGAGACAUUAGAUGAGAUAUAUAUAUAUAUAUAUAUACUUAGAAAAAAAUUUUUAUUUAAACAUUUGAAAUCUGGAGCUGCCUGUGCAACCAUAGCAGACAUAAAUAACGUCCACAGCUCUCCUCCUCUCAGUGCCCUGGUGCCAGGGCUUGCAAGGGCACCACCUGAAAACUUCCAGUGGCUGCCCUACCUGUCACUGAGACUGAGCAACGGGACAGAGGAGAGAGUAUCACUGCACUGGGUAUGCUGGUGGUUGUCACAGAAAGGCCCAGAAGAACGUUGGACAGAAAUCCCUACAGGCUCUAGAGUUUUCCAUAUGCUAAAUUCAGCCUUCCUAGGAGGCUCACAGGCUUUUAAAUACCAAAAUCCACCUGGCUGAAUGGCUGCACCUUGGGCCUGGGAGUGCAAUACUGCUGUGCCAGUGACCUCGUGCUUUGUUUACAUGAUACCAUAUCACUCAGAUUGUCCAUGCUAAUUCUCCCUGCCAAAAUCCCAAAGCAGGCGGCUGACACUCUGCCUUCAGAGCAGUGCUUGGGUUCCUGCACACCCAGCCUGACCUGUCACUGGGGUGUUCUUGUACCUUUACAAAGGUGCCUUUGAGAGCUUUCAGACAAGGCCAGUGCCUGCACUGGGUUAGACUCAAAUGCAGAAGCAUGUCACGGUGCCAUUCCACUGGACUCUGUUUCCUGGACCUGGCCUCCACAAGCCAGAUUUGUGCUGUGUCAGCUGGAUGGGGGAGGAGGGGGGAGCACAGGUCCUGAAGAGGGCCAGGCUGCCACAUGAAGGGCACUUGGGGUCCAUGGAGGACUAAAUCAGCUCAGGAAAUGUCAGACCAGAACUAGAUGCGCGUCAAGGCUGGAGCUGCUGUCCUGGUUGUGCCACAAGACUUCUCAGGCACAGCAAGGUCCUGUGAGUAAAUCUGGGUUUAUCCCCAUUCCCUGCCAGGAUGUGCUGGGACCUACAGCACAGCACUGCAGCAGAGAUGGUUCUAAUUCCAGGUGCUCACCCCAUAGUAAGUCCCUGCCCAGGCUGGGGAUUCCUGUCCUCCCCUGAGCCGUCCCUCCUCCCAGGACUCCUCUGCUAGGGUUCUGUCUCCUGAAAUUCCUUAACAAUAGCUGUAGGACUUGGCUAAAGAAUCAGAGCCAGAAGUGUUCCUCUAGUGCCUGAGCAAGCAGGUGCUAGAAAUAACAAAGCAAAGCAAAUCCCAACAAUGCUUCACUUCCUACCUCGUGCCACUAUUUACACUCAGAGGGGAAACACAGCAGCUGUAGUCUGGGAGCCAAACACUUGGCUUUAAAGGCACAUGAAUUUCUGAUUCCCAUUAAGAAAUUCCUUUUUAAGCUGUUUAAAAGGAAACAAAAAGCAACCCAACAAUCAGUCAUUUCAUCUCAGAGACCAAAGAAGAUUAACCACAUUUUCUAAAUUGCUUUUCUGAUAGGCUCUCUGUUGUAGCAUUUAUUGUCAACAAAAUGGAACAUUUCUACUAAGGUUCAGAGAUUAGGAAUUCUCCUUAAACUUAAUUCUCAGGAGUCAACAAUGAAAAGGGAACUGAAGUGUUCUGUAAUGUCACUGGCAGUCCUUGUUUGUGACAGGCUCCAGUCCCUGCCAGAGCUCAGUGCUGGUUUUAUCCUUUGUGCACAUGAAGGAAAUGCUGUGGAUUCUGUUUAAACAAGGACAGAGGGAAGGGAGCAAACAAAGGAGUGAGAAUGAGUCCUACCUUCACCAGGGAUCCCUGAAUCCCUGCUCCCACAUGUUCCAGGCUAAGAGAGGGAGGCUCAGGCUUCUUCAGAUCCUUGCUGCAUUCAGCAGGGUCUGUGCAAGUGUUCAGAGGCACCAGGGAGGCUCCAGCUGCCCCUCAGUCAAUCACGAGGGUUUCCUUCUACUCCACUUCCUAAAGGGGAUUUUUUUAAAGCAUUAACUCGCCCCAGCUGAUCCUGCACUGGCAGUCAGGUGGGUACACAGUGUGGGAAACUGAGGCAAUGGGCCCUGCCCAAAGAGGCAAGAGAAUGACCCAAAAGGCAGCAAGCUGCCAUCCCAAGUGGCUCCUGCGGCCACCCAGACCUGCUCUGGGAGCAGUGGCAGCAGGAGCUUCUCCCCUCACAGUCAGGGGGACUGAACCCCACAACUGUCUGGCUGUGCUCUGGGAAGCAGAGUUCUCCCAAGCUCCACCCCAAAAGCUUCUUCUCUUCUCCCAUGGCUUUAUUGUCUGGUAAACCAGCACUUACAAUCACUUUUACCGCGUGAUGUACGGGAGUAUUCGUGUAUUUUCUUGUUAUACAAGGGAGGAGUAUAAAAUAGUUUUCUGAUUUCUUUCAGAAGCAAAUGACUAUUUUAUUUUUUAAGAGCAAUUGAUUGUGAAUCUCAGAGUAUAAAAAAAAAAAGAUAAGCCAAAUAUAUACCUUUAUGUAAAUUAAGAAAUAAAAGUAUUUAAAAUG